rnacentral:rRNA from 1 species
GACGAACGCUGGCGGCGUGCUUAACACAUGCAAGUCGAACGGAAAGGCCCUGCUUUUGUGGGGUGCUCGAGUGGCGAACGGGUGAGUAACACGUGAGUAACCUGCCCUUGACUUUGGGAUAACUUCAGGAAACUGGGGCUAAUACCGGAUAGGAGCUCCUGCUUCAUGGUGGGGGUUGGAAAGUUUCGGCGGUUGGGGAUGGACUGGCGGCUUAUCAGCUUGUUGGUGGGGUAGUGGCUUACCCAGGCUUUGACGGGUAGCCGGCCUGAGAGGGUGACCGGCCACAUGGGGACUGAGAUACGGCCCAGAGUCCUACGGGAGGCAGCAGUGGGGAAUAUUGCACAAUGGGCGGAAGCCUGAUGCAGCAACGCCGCGUGCGGGAUGACGGCCUUCGGGUGGUAAACCGCUUUCGCCUGUGACGAAGCGUGAGUGACGGUAAUGGGUAAAGAAGCACCGGCUAACUACGUG